rnacentral:ncRNA from 1 species
CAACCUGAGAGUUUGAUCCUGGCUCAGAGCGAACGCUGGCGGCAGGCCUAACACAUGCAAGUCGAACGGACCCUUCGGGGUUAGUGGCGGACGGGUGAGUAACACGUGGGAACGUGCCUUUAGGUUCGGAAUAGCUCCUGGAAACGGGUGGUAAUGCCGAAUGUGCCCUUCGGGGGAAAGAUUUAUCGCCUUUAGAGCGGCCCGCGUCUGAUUAGCUAGUUGGUGAGGUAAUGGCUCACCAAGGCGACGAUCAGUAGCUGGUCUGAGAGGAUGACCAGCCACAUUGGGACUGAGACACGGCCCAAACUCCUACGGGAGGCAGCAGUGGGGAAUCUUGCGCAAUGGGCGAAAGCCUGACG